rnacentral:rRNA from 1 species
UGGGGAAUCUUGCACAAUGGGGGAAACCCUGAUGCAGCGACGCCGCGUGAGUGAUGAAGCCCUUCGGGGUGUAAAGCUCUUUCGGCAGGGACGAUAAUGACGGUACCUGAAGAAGAAGCUGCGGCUAACUACGUGCCAGCAGCCGCGGUAAUACGUAGGCAGCGAGCGUUGUUCGGAGUUACUGGGCGUAAAGCGUGCGUAGGCGGUGGACCAAGUCUGGUGUGAAAUCUCCCGGCUUAACCGGGAGGGUGCGCCGGAAACUGGUUCGCUGGAGUACCGGAGAGGCAAGCGGAAUUCCAGGUGUAGCGGUGAAAUGCGUAGAUAUCUGGAGGAACACCCGUGGUGCAGACGGCUUGCUGGACGGUGACUGACGCUGAGGCACGAAAGCGUGGGUAGCAAACAGG